AGACUGUGAUGCCCAAUCAUCUUUCGGGACUGAAACUUUAUGUAGAUAAAUUUUUACUGAGUCU